rnacentral:rRNA from 1 species
UACAGAGGGGGCGAGCGUUGUUCGGAAUACUGGGCGUAAAGGCGCGUAGGCGGCCUGCUAAGUCGGACGUGAAAUCCCUCGGCUCAACCGGGGAACUGCGUCCGAUACUGGCGGGCUUGAAUCCGGGAGAGGAAUGGGGAAUCCGCGUGUAGCAGUGAAAUGCGUGAUAUGCGGAGGAACACCGAUGGCGAAGGCAAUCCCCUGGGCC